GGAAAGGUGGCCGAGUGGUUUAAGGCACUAGUCUUGAAAACUAGCAGGCCGCAAGGUCUCGUGGGUUCGAAUCCCACCCUUUCCGCCA
rnacentral:tRNA from 1 species